UACGAAGGGGGCGAGCGUUGUUCGGAUUUACUGGGCGUAAAGGGCGCGCAGGCGGCUCAUUUUGUCAGGCGUGAAAGCCCCGGGCUUAACCUGGGAACUGCGUUUGAUACUGAGGAGCUCGAGUCCGGAAGAGGUGAGUGGAACUGCGAGUGUAGAGGUGAAAUUCGUAGAUAUUCGCAAGAACACCAGUGGCGAAGGCGGCUCACUGGUCCGGUACUGACGCUGAGGUGCGAAAGCGUGGGGAGCAAACAGGG
rnacentral:rRNA from 1 species